GACGAACGCUGGCGGCGUGCUUAACACAUGCAAGUCGAACGGUGAAGCGCCUUCCUUUUUGGUGGGUGUGGAUGAGUGGCGAACGGGUGAGUAACACGUGAGUAACCUGCCCCCUUCUUCUGGAUAACCGCAUGAAAGUGUGGCUAAUACGGGAUAUUCUGGGUCUGUCGCAUGAUGGGUCUGGGAAAGAUAUUGUUUCGGUGGGGGAUGGGCUCGCGGCCUGUCAGCUUGUUGGUGGGGUGAUGGCCUACCAAGGCGGUGACGGGUAGCCGGCCUGAGAGGGUGGACGGUCACACUGGGACUGAGACACGGCCCAGACGCCUACGGGAGGCAGCAGUGGGGAAUAUUGCACAAUGGGCGCAAGCCUGAUGCAGCGACGCCGCGUGAGGGAUGGAGGCCUUCGGGUUGUGAACCUCUUUCGCCAGUGAAGCAGGCCUGCCUCGUUUGUGGGUGGGUUGACGGUAGCUGGAGAAGAAGCGCCGGCUAACUACGUG
rnacentral:rRNA from 1 species